rnacentral:rRNA from 1 species
CAGCCGUAAACUAUGCGCGUUAGGUGUAUUGGUGACCACGAGUUACCGAGGUGCCGAAGGGAAACCGUGAAACGUGCCGCCUGGGAAGUACGGUCGCAAGGCUGAAACUUAAAGGAAUUGGCGGGGGGAGGCACCACAACGGGUGGAGCCUGCGGUUUAAUUGGACUCAACGCCGGACAACUCACCGGGACGACAGCAAUAUGUAGGCCAGGCUGAAGACCUUGCCUGAAUCGCUGAGAGGAGGUGCAUGGCGUAGACGUC